GAUGGAGGGAUGGAGCCGCCCCAUCUCGCUCUACCUCAUUUCCCUGUCAGGAGGGAUUUAGUGCGCUGGGUGCGGUGCUGGCCCUGGGUGUGCGGUGCAGUGAUCAGCUGGUCAAUCGGCGUUCAAGAAUUGCAGGAUCGGUCAGGUUGGAGGGGACAUCUGGUCAGUGAGGUCAUCUGGUCCCACCUCCCUGCUCCAGCAGGGUCAUCCCACAGCACAGAGCACAGGAUUGCACCCACACGGUUCUGGAAUAUCUCCAGUGACAGUUCUGGGAGACUCCACACUCUCUCUGGGCAAUCUGGCCCUGUGCUCGGUCACUGCACAGCGUUGUCUUUGUGCUCACUUUAUUGACAGCCAUAUAAUAACAAGUUUCUCAUUUCUUUAUGCACACAAAAAAAACGUGCAGGUACGUGAGCCUGCAGGAUGCUGAAGGUGACGCUCUCUGGAGCUCUCAGGUGACCUCACUGAUAAAGCCGACUAAUCAAAUUACGUGCCCUGUGACUUCAGUGAGUUGGGGAAGGCUCAUAAUGGAGCAGGAUCCCAGCAGGAAGAACUCCUGCUGUGCCUUAUUCAAUUACUCAGGGUCCUGGUGGAGGUCGGUACCCCCUGGGCAGAGGUGGCUGCUGGAAGCUGUGUCAUCAGCUUUCUGCUGAUGCUGGGAGCUCACACGCCAUGGGAGUCAACUUGAGUAUCCCUUGAUACCUUGGUGUGAUAAAACACUAACUGCAUCCUGCUCCUCCCAUCCUGCUCUCCUUCCCACCUCUGUGUACUCCUCACUUUUUGCCUGUGCCUCCCAAUAACCAAGUUGUCCAAUGCUACACUUUUUAAGACAAAUAUUAGCAGUGCUGUCUUGCUGACCUCACAGCUGGAACCAGUCCCUCUCAGGCUGGUGCUUUUCAGAGACGCUCACUUAAAAAUUAAUUUUUCAAGAUAGCGUAAAUCAUCCUGCUGUCCUCCUAUGGCAAAUGCUGCAACACUCCACGGCUAAAUUGCCCUUUUUUACUUAUCAGCUGCUGCAUCCAUCAUUUCCAAUAAAAAUAAAGCCAGCAGUUAUCUCUGGCAAAGAGUAUGUCAUGUCACCAGCCAUGCUGAGAAAGGAAGUGGUGUCUGCUCAGGUCAGCAGGAAUGGCUUGUUGCAGGGUAGGAGAACUUAAAUGCUCAGAAAGCUGCUUGAGAAACUGACUCAUCAGUUUUAAAUAUCUCACCUUUUAUUGUGGGUAAAGGUCCUGGGUUUUGUGUUUCGGGAUGUGCGUGUAUUCAAAUUUCUGUUGUACAAAAUCAAAUUCAGCUCUUGUCUGACAAAAUGGUGUGACUUCUGAGGAUGUUAGUGGGGAUGCUUAGAUCUAAAAUGGCUCCAGACACAAAUGAAAACUGGAUGAAAAUCCAGCAGUAAGAGGCCUCCUGCCUCCACUCCUCAAGGGUAAGGUGCUGCUUCUACAACUGCAUCUGUUUCUUGUGACUGGCAGAAUACAGAUGGAAUAUACCCCGUGUAGGGAACACGGCCCUGCCUGCAGCCCAAAGGCAGGUGGCCAACCUUUACCACCUGUAUUGCAAGGCCUGAUGACCCCAGAGAGUGCCUAUCCCUCACUGGUGUUUUUUUCUCUUCCUCAGCAUGGAGAGAGAAGUGUUGAUGGCUGAGGUGGUGGAUCUGGGAGUGGGGCAGUGUCCUCUUCUGCUCCAGCAUCCAUCUGUGUAAAGAGACACUGAAAGCUGGAACUCUGAUCCUCUCCCAGUUGUCUCUUGGCAGGUGCAGUCCACUUUGCUCACUCACCAGAGGCCUCAGGGUCUUUUUCUAUCUGCAGCAUCUGGUGUUCUAAAAUUGAUGAGGAAUGUAGCUGGUUCCUGGGGAGGUCAUCUUGGGAAAGAGUACUGAAGCAGAGGGAAAGUUCUACAAUAUAUGGGAGCCUGGACUACAAGGAGAUGGUAAAAGGCUUCACAGCAGCGUUUUGUGGAAGUUCAGCUGCCUGCCUGCCUCAGUGGGUGUUACUGUUCUUCAAUUUCCAGAAAAAAAAACAAUCCCUGUGUCUGCACUCGGAAGAAGCUGGAACGUGAAAUAACACAGGCAGAGGAGGGGGAUCAGAGCUGACAGUGAAAAGGGAGCCUGGCAGCCUGGGCUCUGCCUGUAAGCAGAGUUUCAGUUCACUCGAUAUUUCACUAUUUCAGUGGUUCAUUAUGGACAGGGAACAUCUCCAAAAUGGUGCAGGAAGUUUUGUCGUGCCGGGAGCAGAGGGUGUGUGUGACCAUAUGGCCACCUCUGUGCCGUGACCCUGGAGUGUGUUCCCACGUGGAGCGGCACCAGUGUGGAAUGAUGCCCACCUGGGAAAUCCAUCCCUGAGGUAUUGACAGGGGUCAUUUUUGUGGUGUUCCUUUUCCACCUAUGUGACGUAGAGAAACAGUUGAACAAAUGAUUGUGGUGGGUGUAGUGCUGAAGAAAAAAGGCACCAAAACCAUUUUGUGGGAACCUAUGAAAUCCCUGGAGUUACUGAGAAUUUCCUCUUCCCUUCCACUGGAACAAACUUGAAGAAAUCACAUCGUUGGUGGUAUAUCCUGUGAUUUAUGUAGUGUAAUUUAUGUAUUGUAAUUGUUGGGGUGCUGCAUCAUGCCCUCAGCUUGCUGAAGAACACACAUAAACUUUGACUGAAUUUA